rnacentral:rRNA from 1 species
UGAGGAAUAUUGGACAAUGGAGGCAACUCUGAUCCAGCCAUGCCGCGUGCAGGAAGACUGCCCUAUGGGUUGUAAACUGCUUUUAUAUGGGAAGAAUAAGAUCUACGUGUAGAUUGAUGACGGUACCAUAAGAAUAAGCACCGGCUAACUCCGUGCCAGCAGCCGCGGUAAUACGGAGGGUGCAAGCGUUAUCCGGAAUCAUUGGGUUUAAAGGGUCCGUAGGCGGGCAUAUAAGUCAGUGGUGAAAUGCUGUGGCUCAACCAUAGCACUGCCAUUGAUACUGUAUGUCUUGAAUUAUUGUGAAGUGGUUAGAAUAUGUAGUGUAGCGGUGAAAUGCUUAGAUAUUACAUAGAAUACCGAUUGCGAAGGCAGAUCACUAACAAUAUAUUGACGCUGAUGGACGAAAGCGUAGGUAGCGAACAGGAUUAGAUACCCUGGUAGUCUACGCCGUAAACGAUGGAUACUAGUUGUUUGGAUUUCGAUCUAAGUGACUAAGCGAAAGUGAUAAGUAUCCCACCUGGGGAGUACGUUCGCAAGAAUG